UACGUAGGGCGCAAGCGUUGUCCGGAAUUAUUGGGCGUAAAGAGCUCGUAGGCGGUCUGUCACGUCUGCCGUGAAAACCCGAGGCUUAACCUCGUGGCUUGCGGUGGAUACGGGCAGACUAGAGGUAGGUAGGGGAGAACGGAAUUCCCGGUGUAGCGGUGAAAUGCGCAGAUAUCGGGAGGAACACCGGUGGCGAAGGCGGUCUCUGGGCCUUACCUGACGCUGAGGAGCGAAAGCAUGGGGAGCGAACAGG
rnacentral:rRNA from 1 species